rnacentral:misc_RNA from 1 species
GUCUCCAAGAGCUCCAAAUGUAGCUUCUCUAGCUCGUCCACCACAAGCACCACCAAAACACCAAUGGCAGCCCCAAAUGCUCCUAUGAUAGCUUGCCAACCACUUGAUUGAUAGCGCUUUUGCUUUUAGUGAAGGUAUAAAGGAUGUAUGGGAGCUAGAACACUUUCUAGCACUUUUAAUUGAAGAGAAAACUAAGCUUUUCUCUAGGAUUAAUGGAAGAAAAACAAGAAGGGGGAGAGAGGGAAG